AUUGAACGCUGGCGGCAGGCUUAACACAUGCAAGUCGAGCGGGGGAAGGUAGCUUGCUACUGGACCUAGCGGCGGACGGGUGAGUAAUGCUUAGGAAUCUGCCUAUUAGUGGGGGACAACAUCUCGAAAGGGAUGCUAAUACCGCAUACGUCCUACGGGAGAAAGCAGGGGAUCUUCGGGCCUUGCGCUAAUAGAUGAGCCUAAGUCGGAUUAGCUAGUUGGUGGGGUAAAGGCCUACCAAGGCGACGAUCUGUAGCGGGUCUGAGAGGAUGAUCCGCCACACUGGGACUGAGACACGGCCCAGACUGCUACGGGAGGCAGCAGUGGGGAAUAUUGGACAAUGGGGGGAACCCUGAUCCAGCCAUGCCGCGUGUGUGAAGAAGGCCUUAUGGUUGUAAAGCACUUUAAGCGAGGAGGAGGCUACUUUAGUUAAUACCUAGAGAUAGUGGACGUUACUCGCAGAAUAAGCACCGGCUAACUCUGUGCCAGCAGCCGCAGUAA
rnacentral:rRNA from 1 species